rnacentral:lncRNA from 1 species
GUGCUCCGACGGCCCCACCCCGGCGGCGCAGCCCGCCCGCCCGCGCGUCCCUCGGUCCACCUGCAGCAGGGAGGAAGACAGGCAAUCCCUCCGGCUGUCCGACCAAGAGAGGCCGGCCGAGCCCGAGGCUUGGGCUUUUGCUUUCUGGCGGAGGGAUCUGCGGCGGUUUAGGAGGCGGCGCUGAUCCUGGGAGGAAGAGGCAGCUACGGCGGCGGCGGCGGUGGCGGCUAGGGCGGCGGCGAAUAAAGGGGCCGCCGCCGGGUGAUGCGGUGACCGCUGCGGCAGGCCCAGGAGCUGAGUGGGCCCCGGCCCUCAGCCCGUCCCGCCGGACCCGCUUUCCUCAACUCUCCAUCUUCUCCUGCCGACCGAGAUCGCCGAGGCGGCCUCAGGCUCCCUAGCCCCUUCCCCGUCCCUUCCCCGCCCCCGUCCCCGCCCCGGGGGCCGCCGCCACCCGCCUCCCACCAUGGCUCUGAAGAGAAUCCACAAGGAAUUGAAUGAUCUGGCACGGGACCCUCCAGCACAGUGUUCAGCAGGUCCUGUUGGAGAUGAUAACAGGGUCUCGCUCUGUCAAGCCCGGGCUGGAGUGCAGUGGCGUGAUCUCAGCUCACUGCAGCCUCUGCUUCCUGGGUUCAAGUGAUUCUCGUGCCUCAGCCUCUCGAGUAUCUGGGAUUACAGUGUUCCAUUGGCAAGCUACAAUAAUGGGGCCAAAUGACAGUCCCUAUCAGGGUGGAGUAUUUUUCUUGACAAUUCAUUUCCCAACAGAUUACCCCUUCAAACCACCUAAGGUUGCAUUUACAACAAGAAUUUAUCAUCCAAAUAUUAACAGUAAUGGCAGCAUUUGUCUUGAUAUUCUACGAUCACAGUGGUCUCCAGCACUAACUAUUUCAAAAGUACUCUUGUCCAUCUGUUCUCUGUUGUGUGAUCCCAAUCCAGAUGAUCCUUUAGUGCCUGAGAUUGCUCGGAUCUACAAAACAGAUAGAGAAAAGUACAACAGAAUAGCUCGGGAAUGGACUCAGAAGUAUGCGAUGUAAUUAAAGAAAUUAUUGGAUAACCUCUACAAAUAAAGAUAGGGGAACUCUGAA